rnacentral:misc_RNA from 1 species
UUUCCGUAGGUGAACCUGCGGAAGGAUCAUUAAUGAAAAUUAUAAAAAAACGCCAAAGUGAAAUGUGCACGUGUGUUUUUUCAAUCUCUUUUUUUCAUUUUUUUUUGAUUUGAUUCUUUUUUUUUAUAUAAAAAAAAAGAAGAGGAAAGAAUUAAAGUGAAAAAAAAAAGAGAUAUGAAAAAAUCAAAAAACUUUUAAAACCCUUUAUAAAAUAAAAUAUAGUUUGUCAAUUAUUAUUGUUUCUUUUUUUUUUUCAAAUGACUUUUAUCAAUUGAAAAAAAAGAGAGACGUAAAAUAUAAAAUGAAAAAAAAAACUUUUAACAACGGAUCUCUUGGCUCUC